ACUGCUGGGCUGCCAUCAGUGGCACAUUUAGCCCACUGUUUGGUCUGCUGCAGGGAAAGGUUGGGUCACUUCUUUUCCAGGCAAUCACACAAUGUAAUCACUGGAGUGAACCCAAUAAUCUCCAAAAUAUUCCUUCCUGAGCCCUGUCAAGAGCUUCUACUUUUAAAAAUGCAGGGCUGUCAAGAAACCUUCCACAGCCAAAUCCGGCUGGGAAGAGUUCAUCUGAAAUUCACACUACUGUAUCAGGCCAAUUUCCUCUUCUGAAAAGAUCCACCUGAUUUCUUGCAAAAGAAUGAAACCUGGAGCCCCCUCUUUCAGUAAACAUGGAAAAGAACAGAGAGUCAGCUAAGAAAAGAGGUUUCAGUCUUCCCUGAUGACAAGGAUUCCCCACGCAAGUUCGCAACCAGCUGCUUCACUU